ensembl:snoRNA LOC120103303 small nucleolar RNA SNORA17
ACUGCCCCUAGAGGCAUUGCAGGUGUGGCUGCUGUGUUACUUGGGUGUCCUCAGUAGGUGGCAUAGAGAGGAGAAAGACUAUGUCUGUGCUCAGUGUUCUAUGAACAUCUGAAUGAUUAGUAACCUAACACU